ACAAUGACUCUCGACAACGGAUAUCUCGGCUCUUGCAUCGAUGAAGAACGUAGCGAAAUGCGAUACUUGGUGUGAAUUGCAGAAUCCCGUGAACCAUCGAGUCUUUGAACGCAAGUUGCGCCCGAAGCCAUUAGGCCGAGGGCACGCCUGCCUGGGUGUCACAC
rnacentral:rRNA from 1 species